AACGAACGCUGGCGGCAUGCCUAACACAUGCAAGUCGAACGAUACCUUCUGGUCCAGUUGCGCACGGGUGCGUAACGCGUGGGAACCUUCCCUUAGGUUCGGAAUAACUCCCCGCAAGGGGUGCUAAUACCGGAUAAUGUCUUCGGACCAAAGAUUUAUCGCCUUUGGAUGGGCCCGCGUUGGAUUAGCUAGUUGGUAGGGUAAAAGCCUACCAAGGCUAAUAUCCAUAGCUGGUCUGAGAGGAUGAUCAGCCACACUGGGACUGUGACACGGCCCAGACUCCUACGGGAGGCAGCAGUGGGGAAUAUUGGACAAUGGGCGAAAGACUGAGCCAGCAAUGCCGCGUAAGUGAUGAAGGCCUUAGGGUUGUAAAGCUCUUUUAACCGGGAUGAUAAUGACAGUACCGGGAGAAUAAGCGCCGGCUAACUCCGUG
rnacentral:rRNA from 1 species